rnacentral:rRNA from 1 species
GAUGAACGCUGACAGAAUGCUUAACACAUCAGCCAUUGAUUGGUGGCGGACGGGUGAGUAACGAGUAAAGAACUUGCCUCACAGCUAGGGACAACAUUUGGAAACGAAUGCUAAUACCUAAUACUGGUAGAGAGCUUUGCGUCCCAUUAGCUAGUUGGAGAGGUAACGGUGCACCAAGGCGAUGAUGGGUAGCCGGCCUGAGAGGUUGAUCGGACACAAGGGGACUGAGACACGGCCCUUGUUCGUACGGGAGGCAGCAGUGGGGAUUAUGGGACAAUGGACCAAAGUAUGAUCCAGCAAUGCUGUGUGAACGAUGAAGUUUUCGGAAUGUAAAGUGCUUUCAGUUGGGAAGCGGUACCAACAGAAGAAGGGACGGCUAAAUACGUGCCAGCCGCCGCGGUAAUUC